rnacentral:rRNA from 1 species
UACGAAGGAUCCAAGCGUUGUCCGGAUUUACUGGGUUUAAAGGGUGCGUAGGCGGACUUAUAAGUCAGUGGUGAAAGCCUUCAGCUUAACUGAAGAACUGCCAUUGAAACUGUAAGUCUCGAGUUCGGUUGAGGUCAUUGGAAUGUAACAUGUAGCGGUGAAAUGCAUAGAUAUGUUACAGAACACCAAUUGCGAAGGCAGAUGACUAAACCGAAACUGACGCUGAGGCACGAAAGCGUGGGGAUCAAACAGGAUUAGAUACCCUGGUAGUCCACGCCCUAAACGUUGAAUACUCGACCUUAGCGAUAUACAGUUAGGGUCCAAGCGAAAGCGUUAAGUAUUCCACCUGGGAAGUACGUUCGCAAGAAUG